rnacentral:lncRNA from 1 species
GUGGAAUAAUGCACGAAUGGAUAAAAAAGAGUGAGAGGUCAGUGGAGAUCCGUGUCCAGGGGAGUGAUGCUAUUGCGAGUGUGAAAGGUUGUCCAGGAAGUAACUAAGAAGACAUGAACAGAGAGGUAAGUACUAGAGUACUAAACUUACUCUUUAAGUGUGUGUGUGUGUGUGUGUGUGUGUGUGUGUGUGGGUGUGUGUGUGGGUGGGUGGGUGGGGUGGGCUGCUUUUAACCAUGUAAAGCACUUUGUGCUACAUUUUUUGUAUGAAAAGUGCUUUAUAAAUAAAGAUUGAUUGAUAGAGCUUUGAGCAACGUGAGGCCAAUAACUAACAUAGGUUAACAGAUAAUAUGGCAAAGACUGGUUGUGAACGGUUGUCUUAAAUACAGCUGGCUUGAUUUGUCUCAGGUGGUGAUCCUCAGAGGAGCGAUGAAGUAGAGCAGCCAGCGCUCCAAGUAGAGCAGGCACUGUGGAAAAAUAGUUGUGACUCAACCAGACCAUUACAAAGUAUGGCCUGGAGGAUUUUCAUCUCAAGGUGCAAGAACAUUCUUAAUGACUGUACACGGCGGCUGCUGAUGGACGAUGUUGGGCCAGAUGUGCUACAGUUAGCGUUAAGGAGGUAUGAUCAAAGCAAGAUCGAAAACAUUUAACAUUUAAACUUGCAUAAAAUGUUUAAGGGGAAUAUGGCCUGAGAAUAUAACAUGAAUUAAGAAGUAAUUUUUGGAUAUCUUUGAGGUUGGAGACAAUGCAGAGAAGCCUUCGGUGGGCAAGAGGAAGACUGAUCAAUGUAACUGCAGCAGAUCAACUUCUGCGUGACUUGGCUGAAUUGAUUCAGGAGGUCGAACUGUCUACUCAGGAUGGCCAACAAGGCUGUUUUGGAUACCAGGCACCAGUGGUUUUCAACAGAGGUAGAGGAAGAUCCCUUUACCUUAUCACUCGGGAACAGCUUUCAUUCCUGAAGUCAUGUGGAUUCACUGCACCUCAGAUGGCUGAUAUUUUGAAUGUUUCACUUCGUACAAUUCGAAGACGUCUGCGACAGUAUCAUUUCACCCGUGCAUCAAUGUAUGCGGAACUGACUGACAGUGCCUUGGAUGAACAUGUGCAGGACAUUGUUGCUGGCAAUGAACAAAUUGGUCCUGAGGCUGUCAGAGCCUCCCUGCGAGUACGUGGACUACGUGUACAGCAAAGGAGGGUUGGAGCAAGCAUGUUACGGAUGAAUCCUGGAGCAGCUGCCCUUAGAGCAGUUUUGCGGAGACCAGAAUGAAGAACAUAUCAGGUUGCAGGUCCAAACUCAUUGUGGCACAUUGAUGGAAAUCACAAGCUAAUACGGUAACCAACCACACUGAUUUGUUGAACACCUAUUUUGACCAAAGUGAAAUUCAGCAUUACAUCAAAUAUAAUUGUUGAACAAUAAGACACGUCCACUAGAGCCAGGCCCUGGGAUGGGCAGUCCUCUAACACAACUGGUUAUGUUUAAAGGGGAAGAUGAGAGAACACAGACAGCGCAAGCAACAUACAGAGAAAAAUUCAAACUUGACAUGUAAUAGUCCCAUGUAAAUCAAUUAAGAGUGUAUUUUCCAUUGUUUCAAUAACAAAGCAGAAAUAAUAUUUUUCUUCUUAUGGACCACGGUUUUAGGUGGAGGAUAGUCAUUCAUGGGGCUAUUGAUGGAUACAGUCGUCUUGUGGUCUUCCUUCAUGCCUCAAACAACAACCGUAGCAGUACCGUUUUAUCAAGUUUCAUCAGACCCGUGGUAUCCUAUGGUGUACCCUCGAGGGUCCGGACAGACAGAGGAGGGGAAAACAAUGCUGUCUGCCUGAUGAUGAACAUUUUCAGAGGCUUUGAUCGUGGAAGUGCCCUACGAGGAAGGAGUACCCAUAAUCAGAGAAUUGAGAGGCUCU